rnacentral:lncRNA from 1 species
GUUUCUUUUAAAAGAAUAUAUGAUAAAAUACCGUAUUUUCCAAAAAUGAAAAUCUUGUUUUAAUUAUCCAGUUGCUUAACUUCUUUUCUUGUCCGGUUAAAAUUGGGGCAUUUCCUACUUGGCUACUUUCUUCUUUCAACUAACUGAUCGCUCAUCUCCCACUAAAUCGAACGGCUACGAUUUGUCAACUUAGAUGGCAUGUAUAUCGUUGACCCGCAACACGCCGGAGUCCGCUUCCGGUGAUGAGAGGUUCCCGGCAGUGGCAGCGGAGGAGGAGGAUCGGUGUAGCUCUUGUCGUCGUCAUCCACGUCUUCGAUCAGGAAGAACAGUGAUGAGUCAGACGGCGAGGGGAAGAGGUACGGAGUAAAUAUAAAUGUGGGCGCAUAAGAUGGGUUCGAUGCUUUGGAAAAGUUUUUGCCUAUAAGGUACAUAUUCUCCUUUCAUUUGAUUUGAAUCCAUUUUUAAUAAUUGUUCGGUACUAAUUUGAAGAGAUUAUAUUUGCUUUUUAAUUUGACAUUUUUUUUUCAUUUAAAUGUGUUUUAGGGGUUUCAUUUGUUUCCUGUAUGUUGAUUUUGUUUAAUUGCAUGAAGAGUAUCUUUGUACGAAAAAUAAUGAACUUGUGCACGGCGAAGUUAAAUAACAGCUGCAUAUAAAAGCGAAGAUAAUGGAUUUUUUUCUUUAUCUUGUCCAUAUGUCCAAGUCAUCAGACGUUUGUAAUCAACAUAGCUCUAAGCUACUGUAGUUGAACCAUGGUUUGAGAUUGCAAGAUAAGAGCUUGUCCAAGAUCAUUUCAAUAGCAAAACAAGUUGAAACUUCAAUAUUUUGAUGUUUGUAGAGUUCAAUCAAUCCUUUCUAACUGCACAAUAUCUAAUUUUCAUUGGUUUGCAUCAAUUACAAUAAGUAAUUUCUAAUUUCUGAUGGUUAACGUACGAAUUCCUUUUGCAUUUAUGUUUAUGUUGUUUAUCCAAUAAUUUCUAUUGGCUUAUUUCAGGAAUGGCAUAUCUAAGUUCUAGUGUGAAAAUCCAAAACUUUUACCAGCCUUUCUGAUGCCUUGUCUUGCUCGUCCAUUAAAGAUAUUGGUAAGCCUGAUGAUGCAUACACCAGGAAGCGAAAAAAAUUGCUUGCCUUCAAUAACUUUUGGGACAAGAAUUGUGAUAUUACUUGAAGAAGUAACAAUGGCGGGAUAUCAAAAAGUCCUGCGAACUCUAGAGGUGCAUUAACUCAGGCAGAAACCACAAGCCAUUCUGAGAGCAAUAACAGUGAAAUUUCUAUCUCAAAGUCGUCAUCACCUAGUGGAUAUCAUGUCNUAUCCCUUUAAUUGACAAUUUUCAUG